rnacentral:rRNA from 1 species
UCAAGUUAUUAAGGGUGCAGGGCGAAUGCCUUGGCACUAGGAGCCGAUGAAGGACGUGAUAAGCUGCGAUAAGCUUCGGGGAGUUGCACGUAAACUUUGAUCCGAAGAUUUCCGAAUGAGGAAACUCACUUAGAGUAAUGUCUAAGUAUCGUAUGAUGAAUACAUAGUCAUACGAGGGGAACCCGGAGAACUGAAACAUCUAAGUACCCGGAGGAAGAGAAAGAAAUUCGAUUCCGUAAGUAGCGGCGAGCGAACGCGGAACAGGCCAAACCAGUGAAGUUUUCUUCGCUGGGGUUGCGGACAUAUCAUAACGAAGAGGUAUCGUAGAAGAAGAGAGUUGGAAAGCUCCGCCACAGAUGGUAACAGCCCAGUAUUUUAAACGAGAAGACUUUAGAUAUGAUCCAGAGUACCACGGGACACGUGAAACCCUGUGGGAAGCAGGAGGGACCAUCCUCCAAGCCUAAAUACUACCUAGUGACCGAUAGCGUAUAGUACCGUGAGGGAAAGGUGAAAAGAACCCCGGGAGGGGAGUGAAAGAGAACCUGAAACCCUGCACUUACAAGCUGUAGGAGCACAUUAUUUGUGUGACUGCGUACUUUUUGUAGAACGGGCCAACGAGUUACGUUGUGUAGCAAGGUUAAGCACUUAAGGUGUGGAGCCGUAGCGAAAGCGAGUCUUAAAUGGGCGUCCAGUUACCCGACGUAGACCCGAAACCAGGCGACCUAUCCAUGAGCAGGUUGAAGCGAAAGUAAAAUUUCGUGGAGGACCGAACCCACGUACGUUGAAAAGUGCGGGGAUGACUUGUGGAUAGCGGUGAAAUUCCAAUCGAGCCUGGAGAUAGCUGGUUCUCCCCGAAAUAGCUUUAGGGCUAGCCUCAAGCUUAGAGAAACGGAGGUAGAGCACUGAAUGUCCUAGGGGGUAUUGCACUUACCGAAGACUAUCAAACUCCGAAUGCCGUAUUCUUUUGCUUGGGAGUCAGACUAUGGGUGAUAAGAUUCAUAGUCAAGAGGGCAACAGCCCAGAUCGUCAGCUAAGGUCCCUAAAUGUAAGUUAAGUGGUAAAGGAUGUGGAAUUGCACAGACAACCAGGAUGUUGGCUUAGAAGCAGCCACUCAUUUAAAGAGUGCGUAAUAGCUCACUGGUCGAGUGAUUCUGCGCCGAAAAUUUCCGGGGCUAAAACUUACUACCGAAGCUACGGCAUCAUUAUGAUGGGUAGGGGAGCUUUCUAUGCGGCUUGAAGCAUGACCGUAAGGACAUGUGGACUGCAUAGAAGUGAGAAUGUUGGCAUGAGUAGCGAGAUGUGGGUGAGAAUCCCACAGGCCGUAAACCCAAGGUUUCCAGGGGAAGGUUCGUCCGCCCUGGGUUAGUCGGGACCUAAGCCGAGGCCGAAAGGCGUAGGCGAUGGACAACAGGUUGAUAUUCCUGUACCACCAAUAACCGUUUGAGAAAUGGGAUGACACAGUAGGAUAAGCUAACCGCACUGUUGGUUAUGUGCGGGCAAGUAUUGAGGCAGUUCCGAUAGGCAAAUCCGUCGGAAUAAUGCUGGGGUACGAUGCGGAGCGAAAUUUAGUAGCGAAGUAGCUGAUUUCACACUGUCGAGAAAAGUCUCUAUCGAGGUUAAAGGUGCCUGUACCGCAAACCGACACAGGUGGGUGAGGAGAGUAUCCUAAGGCCAGCGAGAGAACUGUUGUUAAGGAACUCGGCAAAAUGACCCCGUAACUUAGGGAGAAGGGGUGCCUUCGAAAGAAGGCCGCAGAGAAUAGGCCCAAGCGACUGUUUACCAAAAACAUAGGUUUCUGCUAAGUCGCAAGACGAUGUAUAGGAGCUGACGCCUGCCCGGUGCUGGAAGGUUAAGGGGAUCUGUUAGAGCAAUCGAAGCAGUGAACUUAAGCCCCAGUAAACGGCGGCCGUAACUAUAACGGUCCUAAGGUAGCGAAAUUCCUUGUCGGGUAAGUUCC